GAUGAACGCUGGCGGCGUGCUUAACACAUGCAAGUCGAACGGAAAGGCCGAAGCUUGCUUCGGUACUCGAGUGGCGAACGGGUGAGUAACACGUGGGUGAUCUGCCCUGUACUUCGGGAUAAGCUUGGGAAACUGGGUCUAAUACCGGAUAUGACAAUCUCUUGGAUGGGGUUGUGGAAAGCUUUUGCGGUAUGGGAUGAGCUCGCGGCCUAUCAGCUUGUUGGUGGGGUAAUGGCCUACCAAGGCGUCGACGGGUAGCCGGCCUGAGAGGGUGUACAGCCACAUUGGGACUGAGAUACGGCCCAGACUCCUACGGGAGGCAGCAGUGGGGAAUAUUGCACAAUGGGCGCAAGCCUGAUGCAGCGACGCCGCGUGGGGGAUGACGGCCUUCGGGUUGUAAACUCCUUUCGCAACCGACGAAGCUUUUGUGACGGUAGGUUGAGAAGAAGCACCGGCUAACUACGUG
rnacentral:rRNA from 1 species